CAAACAGGAUUAGAUACCCUGGUAGUCCACGCCGUAAACGAUGAGUGCUAAGUGUUAGGGGGUUUCCGCCCCUUAGUGCUGCAGCUAACGCAUUAAGCACUCCGCCUGGGGAGUACGACCGCAAGGUUGAAACUCAAAGGAAUUGACGGGGGCCCGCACAAGCGGUGGAGCAUGUGGUUUAAUUCGAAGCAACGCGAAGAACCUUACCAGGUCUUGACAUCCUUUGACCACUCUGGAGACAGAGCUUUCCCUUCGGGGACAAAGUGACAGGUGGUGCAUGGUUGUCGUCAGCUCGUGUCGUGAGAUGUUGGGUUAAGUCCCGCAACGAGCGCAACCCUUAAGCUUAGUUGCCAUCAUUAAGUUGGGCACUCUAAGUUGACUGCCGGUGACAAACCGGAGGAAGGUGGGGAUGACGUCAAAUCAUCAUGCCCCUUAUGAUUUGGGCUACACACGUGCUACAAUGGACAAUACAAAGGGCAGCGAAACCGCGAGGUCAAGCAAAUCCCAUAAAGUUGUUCUCAGUUCGGAUUGUAGUCUGCAACUCGACUACAUGAAGCUGGAAUCGCUAGUAAUCGUAGAUCAGCAUGCUACGGUGAAUACGUUCCCGGGUCUUGUACACACCGCCCGUCACACCACGAGAGUUUGUAACACCCGAAGCCGGUGGAGUAACCAUUUGGAGCUAGCCGUCGAAGGUGGGACAAAUGAUUGGGGUGAAGUCGUAACAAGGUAGCCGUAUCGGAAGGUGCGGCUG
rnacentral:rRNA from 1 species